CCCUGGCUCAGGACGAACGCCGGCGGCGUGCUUAACACAUGCAAGUCGAGCGGUAAGGCCCUUCGGGGUACACGAGCGGCGAACGGGUGAGUAACACGUGGGUGAUCUGCCCUGCACUUCGGGAUAAGCCUGGGAAACUGGGUCUAAUACCGGAUAUGACCAAAGGCUGCAUGGCUUUUGGUGGAAAGGUUUACUGGUGCAGGAUGGGCCCGCGGCCUAUCAGCUUGUUGGUGGGGUAAUGGCCUACCAAGGCGACGACGGGUAGCCGACCUGAGAGGGUGACCGGCCACACUGGGACUGAGACACGGCCCAGACUCCUACGGGAGGCAGCAGUGGGGAAUAUUGCACAAUGGGCGAAAGCCUGAUGCAGCGACGCCGCGUGAGGGAUGAAGGCCUUCGGGUUGUAAACCUCUUUCAGCAGGGACGAAGCGAAAGUGACGGUACCUGCAGAAGAAGCACCGGCUAACUA
rnacentral:rRNA from 2 species